rnacentral:rRNA from 1 species
UACGUAGGGAGCAAGCGUUGUCCGGAAUCAUUGGGCGUAAAGCGCGCGUAGGCGGCCCUGUAAGUCCGCUGUGAAAGUCAAAGGCUCAACCCUUGAAAGCCGGUGGAUACUGCAGGGCUAGAGUCCGGAAGAGGCGAGUGGAAUUCCUGGUGUAGCGGUGGAAUGCGCAGAUAUCAGGAGGAACACCAAUAGCGAAGGCAGCUCGCUGGGACGGUACUGACGCUA